GGCACUGUUCAAGAGAAGCACAUGGGACAAUUGAAAAGCUAUCAUGCCAAGGAGCUACAAAAGAAAGACCAACUGGGGCUCAACACCCCUUGAAGAGAUGGAGAGAGCAGCAGCUGAUGUCAAGGGUGGAAAAUCCAUCAGAUCAGUGGCUAAAGACAGAAAUGUUGACAGGUCAACCCUAGCAGACUCAAGGUCAGGCCAGAAGUAACCAGGAGAUCUGAGAUGAGCAGAGGGAAGAGGAGAAGUGUUGAGCUGUCGGUCCGUGGGAGGUGAUGAGGAGUGACACGACAUGCCAGCAGCAGCAGCAGCAGCAGCAGCCCGCGAGACGACUCAGUGCUGAUGCAGGAUUUAAAUUCAUCACACAGCGAAGUGGCUCUGUCAGGGACCGCAAUGAUGACUACGACACAGCCUGCGGGUCUGACAACUGCGACUGUGAAGUGGCAGAGCUUGUGGAUGUGUGUGUGUACAGUAGCUAAUGAGAGUGUGCACAAGUGAAGUGUCUGUGGGGGGAAAAUAUAGACAUUUAAAUGUGUAUAUUUAUGUGUGUUGCAAAAUAAAGCACAGUGCAGCACUUAAAUACUG